UUUUAGAAUUUAAUUUAAAGUCUAGCCUGCCCACUGAAUAAUUUUAAAUGGCCGCAGUAUUCUAACUGUGCAAAGGUAGCAUAAUCAUUAGUCUUUUAAUUGAAGGCUGGAAUGAAUGGUUGGAUGAAAUAUUAACUGUUUCAUAAAAAUUUAUAAUAGAAUUUUAUUUUUUAGUCAAAAAGCUAAAAUGUAAUUAAAAGACGAGAAGACCCUAUAAAUCUUUAUAUUUAAAUGAUUUUAAUUAUCUAGAUAAAUUAAAUUAUAAUUAUUUUAAGUAUUUUAUUGGGGUGAUAUUAAAAUUUAAUAAACUUUUAAUUUAAAUUAUACAUAAAUUAAUGAAUUAUUGAUCCAUUUAUUAUGAUUAAAAAAUUAAGUUACUUUAGGGAUAACAGCGUAAUUUUUUUAGAGAGUUCAUAUUGAUAAAAA
rnacentral:rRNA from 1 species